rnacentral:tRNA from 1 species
GCCUUCGUGGUGUAAUGGUCAGCACACUCGGUGAGUAUUCCAGAGAUCUGAGGUUCGAGUCCCGGCGAGGGCU